rnacentral:rRNA from 1 species
UACGUAGGUGGCAAGCGUUAUCCGGAAUUAUUGGGCGUAAAGAGCGCGCAGGUGGUUGAUUAAGUCUGAUGUGAAAGCCCACGGCUUAACCGUGGAGGGUCAUUGGAAACUGGUCGACUUGAGUGCAGAAGAGGGAAGUGGAAUUCCAUGUGUAGCGGUGAAAUGCGUAGAGAUAUGGAGGAACACCGGUGGCGAAGGCGGCUUUCUGGCCAGUUACUGACGCUCAUGCGCGAGAGCUGGGUUAGCGAACCGGAUUAGAUA